GCCUCUCCUUCGGGUGAUGCCUUCUUUGGGGUGGCCUUUCUGCGAGCGUCCGUGCGUGCGUGUCCAUGAAUAAACCUCAGCUUGUCUCGGCAAGCUAGGUGCGAGUCCCUUCUUUGUUUUUUGUAUGAUUAUUGCCAGUGUUUGUUUCUUGUUGGGUUCGUCCUCAGAGUUGCUGCGAGAUUUAUGGGAUUAUCCCAGUCAAUCCUUCUGUCAUGUAAGAUUUUAUUUUGGGCAAAUCAUGAGUGUUGUAUGCCUGUUCCCUCAGUAACUCACUCGUUGUGUAUACAAUUGGACAGGCAUGUCACAUGGUGCCUGUAGUUGUGAUGUGCAUGCUAUACCUCCGUGUGAUCGAGAUCGAUCCAUAUGAUCGAUGCGCCAUGUGUGCAGUGGCAGCUGACACCCGGCGCUACGCAUGCGCAAGGACCGCUGCGAGACCUGAGCAUUUCUUGGGCCGGGCUUUAAAAAGCCGAACCCCACAAAUCUAAGCCUGAGCCAUGCCCGGUCCUGAACAAACGAACACUAUUCUAUUUUUCUCAAUCCUUUUUCCGGUAGUGAAUACUACCUCCCUCCCAGUUUAUUAGACCCCUAGUAUAUUGAGUCAAACUUUGACCAUUGACAUGACUAAUAAAAUAUAGAAUACAUGCUUAAAGUAGUACAAUGUUGGAUUUGUAUUUGAAAGAGCGUUCGGAAGGUAUAAUGUUUGUGACGUAUAGUUUACAUGUUAUUAGUUAAAAUUGUGAGUCAAACUUUAAUCUAAAAUAAGAGGGAGCCUAAUAAACCCGGACGGAGGUAGUAGUACUUAUCUUUCUAUUGAAAUUACGUAAUUUAUUCAUUUUCAAGAUAUAUUAAUACAUUAGUAUGAUUUUUUUAAUGAAACCUUAUUUUUAGUUUUUUAGAACCACAAUAUAGGCCAGAAGCUCACAAUCACUAUAUAUGUGGCAAUUUCCCAAAAGAAAAAACCCAUGUGUGCCAACAUUUUUUAGGAAAGAUAUUUCUUUCCAUUUCAUUAACGAAACCCCCGCAUGUUCUUACAAGAUACAAACUGCUAAAAGAGCCUGGAGGCCUUUAAUUUGAAAAUUUUCAAAAUCCUAUUUUUUUUGUUUCAAAAAAUUCUGAAACAACACACAUGUAUGCAAGGAUGUAAUGUGUAUGUGUGUAAAAAUUCAGUAUGAAAUAUCUUGAUUUACGAGCUGCAAAUAAAUUUAAUGGAGUAUGAGGAUGAAGAAUACAUAUGCUAAAAAGCCCCAGAUUUUUUUCUGUAGCUCUCAUUUAAACCUAUUUCGAUCUGAAAAUUUGCACACAUGUACAUUAUGUGUAUUACGUGAAUUUGUUUUCAGAAUUUAUUGAAACUGAAAUACGGUUAAGUGUACGCAUGAGCCUACAAAAUACGUACAAGGUAUUUGUAAAUGAUAAAAGUACUACAACAAACAACUCAAAACAGGUGUUCGACGUGGACCUCUUUUGUUUUGCAGGAACAUGGGAAUUAUUAAUGUACAGUAAUGCCUUUUACAAUCAUGAUUGAGCAACUCGGCAAAAAACAAAGUGGCCUCAAGCGGCCAAACAUUGGCCUCUACACCCGCUCCUAGCACCAGCAGCUUGUGCAAGUUGGCGAGCUACCCUGUGUCCUCCUCUAUUAACCUGAACCGAAAUUCAGGAAGUUCAGCCGCAGUAUCUCUAACAUCAGGUAGCAGGCGAUAAUACUACACGCACACGGAAAGAAUCGACAGACUUUCACGGAAUCCACCUCACCUAACCAAAUCCUAGCCAAUCAAUUUCUAACUACACCGUAAUCCCCCUGUAAAUCCCCGUGUGUCUAGCAUUGCUCGAUAGCAGGUGUGCAUGGGCAUGGCGCGACCAUAACUUGAGAGCCUGACUCCACUUGAGGCCAAACUGUUCAUGGCCGCCCAUCCAGUCAUCGGCGUCGCAGACCACGCGGAUUUGUGUUGUAGCAAUCCAUCCGCCUUGCUUGAACACAAAGUUCUGUUGGCAAGCUUCCAGCGCCGUGCGUGUCCUGGAGCAGCGGACGGUAGCAAUUGAAGCACGCGCGUACGUGGGAUACUACCCUACGGUCCUACCCUACUUGCGGGUUGCGGCCUUUUCCUCUUUGAGAAGACGUGCACUCCGACUGCUGCAUCGAUCGUUGUGACUCGUGGGACCCUAUUGGCAUCGCGUGUGCCGCUAUAUAAGCUGGGGUGCUCACACAGCAGCUCCGUCACUCAUCCCACCCUGAUACACUCGUUAACUCGUAACGAACAAGCAGCCAUCGAUGGAGGCUCCACGCAAGCUGUCUCCGCCGCGCUCGUGCUGGUGCUGCUGCUCGCGGCCACGGGGGAGAUGGGAGGCCCGGUGGCGGUGGCGGAGGCUCGGAAGUGCGAGUCGCUGAGCCACAGGUUCGCGGGCCUCUGCCUGCGCGGCCACAACUGCGCCAACGUCUGCAGGACCGAGGGCUUCCCCGGCGGCAAGUGCCGCGGCGCCCGCCGCCGCUGCUUCUGCACCACCCACUGCCGCUAGUAGCCUAGCGGCAUGCAUGCGUGCUGGCACCUUUGUGCGUGUGAUUGUGUCCAUGUCCAUGAAUAAACCUCAGCUUGUCUACUAUCUUGGCAUGCAGGCCGAGCUGGGUAUAAGAAACAACUUCUUCUUGUGUCCGUUCCAUGUUUGGGUUCGUCCUCAAAGUUGCAGUGAGGUUCGAUGUGUUCCUUUCACGUGUGUUGUGUUGUGUGCGUGUAAGCGUGUUCCCUCAGUCACUCAUUUGCUCCGUACACGGAACGACGUGCAUGUCGCAUGCUACUUCCGUCUAUGCUUUUUUGUUUGUUUGAGAAAAGUGUGAUCGAGGCAUGUGUGCAGCAAGGAACACGACAGCUGACACCGAGUAAAUUGCACAGAAGUACCACAAUUGGGACAUUAGAAGCAGAUUGAUAAUUUUUACGUGUCAGUAUCAACUUUGGGGCGGGCGAGGCGUUGCAAAAAAGACUAAAACUGCAGUUUAUACGUAUUGACAGGGAAUCUGACUGAUUGGGCCCGCCUGUCAGGUGCUGACGUGGCAAGUUUUUUGCAGAAAACUCCCUUGGUUUGUGAGUAAUCAUGUAAAUGCCCAAUUAUUUCGGGAAAAAAGGCUCCUAUGAGAGGCUUUUUUCCGUUCGUAAUUUCCACCACGGAUUCGGACUCGUUUGCAAAUUUGCGUCGGUUUGAACAAGUAAAUAAAACGAACANNNNNNNNNNNNNNNNNNNNNNNNNNNNNNNNNNNNNNNNNNNNNNNNNNNNNNNNNNNNNNNNNNNNNNNNNNNNNNNNNNNNNNNNNNNNNNNNNNNNNNNNNNNNNNNNNNNNNNNNNNNNNNNNNNNNNNNNNNNNNNNNNNNNNNNNNNNNNNNNNNNNNNNNNNNGGCGUUGCAAAAAAGACUAAAACUGCAGUUUAUACGUAUUGACAAGGAAUCUGACUGAUUGGGACCGCCUGUCAGGUGCUGACGUGGCAAGUUUUUUGCAGAAAACUCCCUUGGUUUGUGAGUAAUCAUGUAAAUGCCGAAUUAUUUCGGGGAAAAAGGCUCCUAUGAGAGGCUUUUUUCCGUUCGUAAUUUUCACCACGGAUUCGGACUCGUUUGCAAAUUUGCGUCGGUUUGAACAAGUAAAUAAAACGAACAAAAAAACAAUCCCGUGCAGGAUUCGAACCGGGGACCUGCGGUACAGCAGAGCAGCGGGCUAGCCACCGCGCCAUGGCUGCGCUCGCGUCAAGAAGCAGGCAGAACGGUUUUUAUACUAGACAUGGGCAGGCUGGGCCGGCCCACCGAGGCCUGCAUUGUUUUUUCCUUUCGCACUUACCUGGCGUAUUGGGGCUCAUUCGUUGCCCAGAUUUCUUUACGUUUCAUUUCUCUUACUUAUUAUGCUUUAUUUUUUAUUCUGGUUUUGGUUUAUUUUUAGGUUUUUCUUUCUUAUUUUUUCAUUCGCUAGGUUGGUUUAUCUCCUGGAUUUUUAACAUAUUUACUGAACAUUUUUUAUGAUGGGUUUUAGUAUAUGAUGAACAGUGAACAUUUAUUUCAUGUAAUGAACUUUUGGUAAUAUACAUUGAACAUGUUUUCAAUGCCAAUUUAAUAUUUUCCUAAUAUAUGUUGAAUUUGUUUCUUAAGAUAUGAUGACAUUUUGCAUAAUGCGCGGUGAAAUUUUCGUAAUUUAUGGUGAACAUUUUCUUAAUACACGAUGAGUUUCAAGAAUAUUAUGAUUACACAAUUUCUUAAUUUAUAGUAAACAUUUUUAAUACACGAUGAACUUUUCUUACAAACAGUGAACACUUUUCUAAUAAUAUGAACGUUGAACAUAAUUUGAAUGCAAAUGGAAUAUUUUUGUAAUAUAUGUUGAAAUAUUUUCUUAAGAUAUGAUGAAAAGUUUACUUAAUGCACGGUGAUUUUUUUAUAAUUUAUUGUGAGCAUUUUCUUAAUACACGAUGACUUUCAAGAGCAUUAUGGUGAACAUUUUCUUAAUACAUGGUGAAUUAUUUGCAUUUCAAGAAAUGUUCAACAUGGGUUAAAAACUUAUUGUGUAAAUCAUUCUUGCAUUUCAAGAAACACGUCGAUUUUUUUAAUAAAAUUUGAACACUUUUAGUGCAUUUUGGAGAUUUAUUAUGAUUACAAAUUUAUAUUUAAUACAUGUUGUCAACUUUCUAAUUAACUGUGCAUUUAAAAAAAUAAAAUAUAUAUGUAUUAAUAUCAUGAAUAACAAAUAUAUAUGGGCCGUGCCUGUGUUCUAGUCUGGUGCUUGACACUUAAUAAUACUAAUAUGUAAUCGCAAAAUAUAUAUGUAUUAAUAUCAUGAUUAAAAAAAACAGUAACCCAGCGCGCAGCCACGCUGGGCCAAUCGCCGGCCCAACGUCUUCAGCAUCUACUAUCUACUAUCUAUCUAUCUACUACCCCUAUAAAAAGAAGAGAGGGGCAGAUCCAAACAAUCUCAUCCAUCCAUCAGCAAAAUUCAAUGACUUAAUCCUUCGGUGUUUAACGCUGCAAACCACGCAUUAAGCCACUAACAAGCCAUCGAUCGAUAACCCAGCCCCGCAGUUAAUCACACGACUCUCGCCCCUGCCCGCACCUCCCUCUUCGCACGACUCUCACCCCUGCGCGCACGACCUCCACCUCCUCCUCCCGCGCCGUUCGCCGCCCCGCAAACUCCGGCAGCCGUUAACCGCCCUUCGCCGCGGGAGCAGCCGCUCGCCACUGCAGCCGCCGCCCGCGGGAGAAGCCGCGGGAGCCGCUCGCCGCUCGCCGCGGGUCGCCCUUUGCCAUGGUCGCCGCCGGAGCCGCCCCGCCCCUGGAUCCGCUCGCCGUUGGUCCCCGCCGGAGCUGCCCCGCCCCUCCCCGGCGCUCCAACCCCAACUCCCCGACUCUCCAUCCUCCCCGCUUCUCAUCACCACCGCCGCACUCCCCGAAGCCCAUCUCUCUCCAGCCUUCCUGCCCGCAUGCAGCCCUCGCCCUCGGCACCGCACGGGCCAGGCCCUCUCUCCUCGGUUAUGGCCACCAUGGAGAACCUGACCCGUAGGGCAUACCCUCCUCCUCUGAUGCGUAACACCCAUCCCUGCCCCGGCGGCUGGGAUCAUGUCCGCCAUCAUGAGCAGGUGCUCCGCAUCCGAGUGCACCGACUCAGAGGUAGAGGUUGGGCUGUAGUUCUUGGACGCCAAGGAAGAACGCAAGUUGUUGCCGCCGCCGAAGAUGAAAACUGGUGGUAACUGGUAAGCCUCUGCAAGCCCCCACCUAGCCUCCCGCCUCUUAGUUCUUCUCCUUUUUUACUCUAGAUGGAUGAUGUCUGAUCUUGUUCACUUAGUCUCCAAUGCGUGAGGAAGAAAAACAGUCACCUCUAACGUCGAUCAGCAGAGCCCAUGUCUUUUGCAUGUAAAGAGACUCUGAGUUAGUGGUUUUCUAUUUACUACAUGCAUACAUCCAAGAACGACUCUACUGAAAAGUAUUAGAAAUUAUUUACAAAUAGCUUUAAGCAAGAAAUGCAACGAGAUGAUUACAUUACAAUGCUCUUUUCUCUCUUCGUUACUACAACCUUGAUGAUGCUUGGGUGAUUCAACUGAAUAGUUGAUGGAUUAAAAUUCAUAUUACAAUGUGGAAAAUGUAGCAGUUUCAGAUUACAAGAUUCAUGUUGCCGUUGUAUAUAAAGGGAGAAUUAAUGUAGUUGCUCUGUAGGAAGCAUGUAGUUUCUCUGUAGGACUCCUGGUGUGCUGCUGGAAUAAACUGGAGGUACAUGUUUUUGUAAUUUUUUGUUGAUAGCUUACCAAGCUGACCACUUGGUAGAGGUACAUGUUGAUUUGUUCUCUUUCAGGUGAUGGAACUCUAUCCUACGCGCAUAGCAGUGAUGGAACAUAGCGUACUUUCACCCUUUUUUCCAGAUCGAGAUGGUGGAGGCAGCCAGUGUCGUGGCCGAGCGCUGGGGAGCUUGUCGGUGUUUUGAUGGAGAAGGCCGGCCGCCUCCUCUCCCUACCAAGUCUUUUUGGCCCAUAGAUCGAGUUCAUGGUUGAUAAGGAAGGUGUGGUCGAUUUCACCAGGCUGGGUCCGAAGGUCCCGAAGUCCUAUGGCAUGAACUGGCCACGGCGCAUCCGGCUGGAUGCACUUGCUCAACACCUUUCCAUCUCUGUACAAUCAGGUAGAUAUUUUCUCACGUGCCAAAUAUUAUUUUUAGGUUGCCAAAUAGUAGUCUAGGAACUAUAGAAAGUGGAUUGCUGAGUUUGCCAAGCAUAAUAGCACACCUAUUAUCAGAUGACCUGAAGAGUAUAUCAAGCAAAGAUGCUUUCAGAUUUAUGCAUGCCUAUAUUAGGUUCCUACUUGUGUGAAGAUAACACUUUGCAUCAGGCUUGUGAGCAACCGUAAGUUGUUUUGCAUGUGAUACUACUUGUGUGAUUAUUUUUACCUUCGGAAAAUUUCCUUCUUAUUAUAUAUCAUAUGGAAUUCUUCAACCAGAGGAGAGCAACUCAAUGAGUUUGCAUACAUUCAGCCAUCUAUGUUGAUGCAACUCAACUAACAAAGAGUAUUUAAGAAAAGACUGCAGUUUGUAAAGCCAGUGGACAAAUUAGUUCUGCACAGUCCGGCAUUAGCGGCGUGCAUGCAGUAAUUCAUCAAUGUUGGGGGUCAGUGCUAUGAACAUCAAGCUUCACCUUUACCAGUGGCAUUAAUUUGUUGUUUUUGUUUUAUAUCAAAUAAUUUACCAUUCUUCAGUUUUGCAUAUCAUAUUUUGGUUCUGAAUUUGUAUUUGGAUAUUUCUGCAACCUUAUUUCUAACAUGCCUUCAACUACUGUUUAUCGCACAAAAAGUCGAAAAAUGUGGAAUAGAGAACUAUUACGGGUAAUACGAAUUGUUUUCUCAUGCAGACUACAAAUUCUCUGUAAUUCACGUGGUUUUGGAAUUUGUUUAAUGUGCAAAAUAUGUACAAGGCUUGUGAGCGGCCAUUUUUAGCCAAGUACUUGUAUAAGUUCUCUUGUAACUUAGCUAUCAGCUUAUUACGAAAGGCUUUGAGGAUUCUUAAUCUAAACUAAAUUUUUAUACCUGUAGUAAUCUUCUGUUAUGAUUUAAUAUUGCACCACGUUAGUCUUGCAUCACGUUAGACCCUGGGUUUGUACUUGCUGCAAAUGCUGUAGGAACUCAACGGCUGUACUUGCUGAAAAUUUCAAUUGAUCAACAUGGGAGUAGUGGUCUCAUGAUCUAAGACUAAGAGUAGAUUUAUUUAUUCUGUUCUAAUAUGUUUAAGAGGGGGAUGAGAAAGUUUCUGCUUAGGUUUGCGUUGCAAGUGAAAGCUUAGUUUAGUAGCAAGGUUAUAACGUGCGUUGCACGUGCAAACUUACUAGUAGUAUAAAGAAGUUCUCGCCUCUUUUACUUCGCGAGGGCAGCCGUGGCGGGGUGGCUAGCCUGCUGCUCUGCUGUACCUCAGGUCGCCGGUUCGAUUCCUGCGCGGGAUUCAGGAUUUGUUCCUUUUAUUUACUUGUUCAAACCGACGCAAAUUUGCAAACGAGUCCGAAUCCGUGGUGGAAAUUACGAACGGAAAAAAAGCCUCUCGUAGGAGCCUCUUUCUCCGAAAUAAUUGGGCAUUUACAUGAUUACACACAAACGGAGGGAGUUUCCUGCAAAAAAUUUGCCACGUCAGCACCCGACAGGCGGGCCCAACCUGUCAGAUUCCCUGUCAAUACGUAUAAACUGCAGUUUUAGUCUUUUUUGCAACGCCUCGCCCAAAGUUGGUACUGACACGUAAAAAUUACCAAUCUUGAUACCAAUCUGUUUCCAAUGCCUCAAUUGUGAUACUUUUGUGCAAUUUACUCGCUGACACCCGUCGCUGCUCAUGCUCAUGCAUGAUGGACUGGCCACGCGUAAAAGGUCCCGGCCUCUAGGAGUGCGAAGUUAUGGUGCUCGGGCAGUCGGGCACCAUGAUGCCCUUUAUUUUCAUUUUUUUAAAACACACACACGCACGCGCGCGUGCGCGCGCGCACACACACAUAUAGAAGUAAAAAAACAAAAAAAACAAAAUCUGUGGAAACAUGUUAUAUGUGCACUGCGGAUCCAUGAAAUUUUGUUUCCAAAAAAAUGUAUUGUGUAAGCUGUACAAAAAAAGAUUCUGUCCCAAAAGCAAAAAGAGGCCCAUUUGAAAAAUACAUAUUUGUCUUUUCUUUGUACGCCUCAUGUGAAAGUAAGAUGUUAUGAAAUUUUGCACAUACAUAGUAUACAUGUGAGUGUGUUUACAAAAAAUUCCAAUCUUUUUUCCCUAUAGAAAAUGUUUUUUCGCGACCUCUAGCAGGUUCAAAGCUGCUUCCUAUUCAGCGCUUCACCCGCGCUGGUUAAAGGCGUCCACGUACGUAAACCAACUGGGCCGGCCUGUAAUGCAUUGAAACAUUCCUGAUUUUUGUGCAGCUUUGUGGUCACUUCUAGGAAGCUUCUAGAAGCAUCAAACCAUUUUUGGGAAGCUUUUGACCGAUGUUUUCUUUGCCUGUUUUUUAAUUUUCAUUUUUCGUUUUUCUUUUUCUUUAUUUAUUAUUUUGUAUUUAACUUUUUUAAAUUCACAAACCUUUUUAAUAUUCAUGCACUUUUUAAAAUCUGUGAAUAUUUUUUAAAUUUAUAUUUUUAUAUAAAUUCGUGAACAUAUUUAAAAUCCAUAAACAUCUUGAAAUUCAUGAACUUUUCCAAAUCCGAAUUAUUUUUCAAAUCAUUGUUUUUAUUUCAAAUUUGUGUUUUUUUUAAUUCAUGAACUAUUUUCCAAUCCAUGAUUUUUAUUCAAAUUCACAAAAAGAAACUCUGUUUGUUCCAAAAGUCAACGGUCUACAGGCCGACCAGGUCAACCAUGAAGAGCGACUAGGCGCGUGAGCUUGAUGAGCGAGCUGCUCGCUCGCAUAGCUAGCCCUGCCUACACAGGGGGGCGAGUGAGCGCUGCCUAGCUACCAGGCGCAGUGAGCGCUAACUAGGAGCUGCCACAGCAAAAAGCAUAGCUGGCUUCCCUCUUAAUGACAAAUUUGCACAAAAUGGACCUUUUGAAGAAAUCUAAGCCCAAGAGGCCCCUAAUUCACCUAUGGACCCCCUCCAGUGGAUGAUUGCGGUUCAUAUAUUAACAUGGUCAGUAUUAUCACGAUUUUACCUGCUACUUAUGUCCGACGAUCAAAAUUGGUCCAUAUAUCGUCACAUAUAUAUAAGUAAACUAAAUAGUUGCUCGUGCCACUAGUGGAAAAAGGCUCAUUUGUCCCGGUUCUGGAACCGGGACUAAAGGGUCGAGACUAAAGCUCAAACCUUUAGUCCCGGUUUGCUUAUGAACCGGGAGUAAAGAAGCUCCACGUGGCCGCUGUCUGGAGCUCCACCUUUACCAACCAGGACUAAAGAAUUUUUUUUAAAAAAUUUAUUUUUCUGAAUUUUGUUGAAUUUUUUUUGAUUUUUUUCUUAUUUUCAAAUUUCUGAAUUAUUUGACAAUUUAAUCUCUAAUCAUCCCUCAUCACUGCUCACUGCUCAAUUAUAAACCACUCAUUUCAAAUCGUCUAACUUCCCAGCAAGUCACGCAUCUUCUCACUACUCCAUCCUGAGCAUGCUUAACUUUCGAGUUCUAUUCCCCCUAGUUUUCAAGUGCUUUUCCUGACAAUACUAAGCUGUCAAUCCUAUUAACACUUAGGAGUUGAACUUGAGCAUUAAGCACCGUUUGAGUUUGAAACUAUUAUUCUAAAAAAACAAUUAUUAUUUAGUAACACUAAUAUUUCUUGAAUAAGUAGUUUGACCAUAGUUUGACCAGAUUUGACCAUAGUUUGACCACAAUUUGACCAAAAGUCAAAAAAGAAAAAAUAAUUAUUUAUUAACACUAAUAUUUCUUGAAUAAGUAGUUUGGCCACAGUUUAAUCAGAUUUAAUGGAAAGUCAAAAAAACUGAAAUUUGAGCAUAUUUGUUUUCUUUCAGAAUUUCAGGAUUCUAAAAAUUUGCAAACAGGUCUACGGCUGUCAAAAUCGAAUGUGGAUUUUCGUGCUUUUUUUUGAUAUAUUAUGCGUUUUUUCGACAUCGUAUGCAAAAGAUAUGACCGUUUUACUUUUUCAUAACACUUUUUUUGCAAAAUAUGUCCAAAUUUAAGCUUUUUAAUUUUCCUAACUAGUAGAUGUAAUAACAUAACUACAUCUCGAAGGAUUUAAUUUUUUAAGUUUUUAUCAUUUUCUUUUGGAUUUUAAAAGACUGAAAAGGCGAUACACGGGGGGUAGAGUUUGAAUCUUUAGUCCCAGUUUACGACACGAACCGGGACUAAAGAGUGCGAUGCCCUUUAGUCCCGGUUCGUGUCUCAAACCGGGACUAAAGGUCCCAUUUGAACCGGGACUAAUGUCUUCUCGACGCCUUAGCCGCUUGAACCGGGACUAAUGCUCAUAUUAGUUUCGGUUCGUGAUGCAACCGGGACUAAAGUGUACAUUGAGCUGUGACCAAAGCCCUGUUUUCUACUAGUGUGCAUUGUAAUGGGGCACACUAUUUUCUACCCAAACAUUGUGAUUUAUCGUACAUUUUGUUGUUAUAUGAUAAUUACAUACUAAAUGUCGCAACUGAAUAAGUACUUAUUGAUUUACCAAAGAAAACAUGAUUCUAUUAGUUAAAUCAAUAAGGCGUGGACCAGUUGAGGUGGUUCAAAAGAGAAUCGAUGAGAUAUUUUUAAUAAAACCUUGUGUUCAUUUUAAGUAGGAUAGAUGUUGCCGCAUUUUUCUAAAUCAUUGGGUUUAGAUUAGGGGGGUGGGUGCAAAUCAAGCGUGUGGCAACUCUAACGAGCUUGCAAAACUGGUUGUAUGUGCAAUCUUAUUAUAGCAAUCAAAUAUAUCUAAAUGCAUCUUUUUUUUUGAGGAGGUACGCAAAUUGUGCACCUUAGCUUUAUAGAAGGAGAGAAAUAAGACAUACAACAACGUCUACCAUUCGCUGCGGAGAACGAAGGCGACCAACUCCACACCCGGUUCGAACAAGGACAACCAAACACAACAACCUACCCAACACCGAGCCCCUCGCCGCGUCUCGACCGACACUGAAGACCUCCGAAGAACAGCAACUCCAGCUUCCUUGGAGUAGCCAGCGACGACCGUACAUGGCGCCGAAGGAGAAAGAUCCGGGUAGCGGUGAACACCGGAGGAGCGCAUCAUGGGACCUCGAGUCUCCCAGCAUAAUGCUCCCAACAGAGUAACAACCUCAAAGACGUUGCCAUCAUGCCGAUCCUACGAAUCAAGGCUUUCACCCCGGAGACAGCUGACGAAAUGAGGUCGCGAGGAAGAUGGCGUUGCACUCGGCGAAGCCUCCAAGAAGGGGAAUGACACCCGCAGGCGCCAUCAACGCCGGUCCGGCCACAACCGAACAGGAUUUUCAUCCGUAGCUCUGCACAUCUCCGAGUCUCCAAGAUCCCGACCAGCCCCGAUCAGAUGCCUCGCACCGCCGUCACCACAACAACUUGCCAUCGAAGCCCCCCCUCACUGCCGAGGGGACACGCCUAAAGCCAUAGCCUUCAACAUCGACUAGGAGCUGCAGCAUCCACCGAGUGGUGCAAAGCCAUUUCCGCCACAGUGGCCUUCACCCAUCCCAGGGGACUGCCACCAGAAUGGAUCCGACCCGCACCUCCGACCAUCCUCCAGCACGCACACCGCCGAGGCAUCGCCGCACGCCUCACAAGGUAGCAACCGAACGCCCGCUGCCCGCCAAGACCCUUCCUGGCAAGGCCUCGCAGCGCCGCCGCCGCCAUGGCUGCGCUCGCACCGCCGCCACCGCCAGUGCCGGUGCACCACCUGCAUCCUCCAUCCUGCUACGUUCCACGCAAGGAUCCAGCGAUAACCGCCGCACCCCAUGUCGUGAGAACCUCAAGGACGCCGGCCAGUGCCAAAAACGCACCAGAUCUGGCCCGAGAUCCUCGGGUCCGCACGGAUCGGCCCGCUCGGAACUGGCCAGGCACGAACUCCCCCGCGGCGAGGAGCACCAACCCGCAGCCGUCCUGCGCACUCCACCGCGACGCGCCGCCACCAGACCGCCGCGACGCCCCACACCACCUCCGGCCAGCGCGCAUCUCCGCCGCGUCGGCCACCGAGAUUCGACGCCAGGCUGAAGAAGUGGUCCCGCCGGCCUGCGCACGCGACGCGCCGCUGCCAGACCGCCGCGACGCCCCGCACCACCUCCCGCCAGCGCGCAUCCACCCGCCACGCCAGCCACCGAGAUCCGCCGCCAGGCCGAAGAAGCGGUCCCCCGCGACCACCGCUCCAGGUGAGGGCAAGAUGAAUCCCGCCGCCGCCGGCACCACACGGGCUUUGUCCGACGGCGACCGCCGCCGGCGGCGGCGGCGGCGGGGAGGGGGAAAGGGAGGGAGGCUGGGGUCGGCGGCGGGGUUAGGGCACCCGAGUCGCCCGCGGGGGGGCGACGCGGGGCAGUUAUAUCUACAUGCAUCUAGCUGUCACCAAACCAAACACUCGCUUUUUGCCUAUGUGUUCCACCCCUCAAAUUUUACUAUGCCAUGCACGACUCAAUAUUUUUCUUUGACUUUUUUUUGCUGUGAUACAUAAUAAUGAUCACAAAAAUUAGCUUUGACUACAGUGGAUUUUCACUAAAUAAGAUUGAGAGAGUGAAAAAUCACUCCCUCCUAUUCCUAUAUGUCCAAUCCUCACAUAUGCAACGAAUAUAGAUCGACCUAAGUAUCAGAGCCAACAACCAAGCUUUCCGAACUAAAACAAUUGAAGGAGCGUAAACAUCAAGAACCAUCAUCACCCAAAAACAAAUGAAACCUUCUCACAGGGCCCCCACGUCGCUCUCUCCCCGGGGCGGCACGGGCGGCGACCACCGCCCCUCUCGCGGCCUCCCCAACUCCAGCCUCUUCUCCCCCUCGCCGUCGCCGGUGGCCUCCGGCAGGCAAAGCCUGCGCGGAGCCACCGGCGACGGGGCGCUCUCUGUAGCUGCUGCUCGCUCGGGAGGAGGGGCGCUCGCAUGCGGGUCGCGGCUGUCCGGCGCUCGGCCUCGUGGCGGCAUUGCUGCUCGCGGCGGAGGCAGUCUCCGGCAUAUGGCGCGGCGUCUGGUCGCGGCGGUGGGCGCGCCGUCGCGGUGCGCGCGGUCACGGUCGUCGGCCUCGUGCGGUCCCGAUCCGAUCUGGGAUCCUGCUGGCGGCGGUUGGCGCGGACGGUGUGUGGCGCCGGGGCGGCGGCCUCGGUCCGAGCUCCUGAUGUGGCCGGGGCGUGGACGGCGCGCGCUCGCGUGGUGGUGGCUCGGUUCUGGCUGUGCGUGUGGGGCGCAGCGACCAGUCGGGCGUGGUGGCUGCAGGUGCGUGUCGGGCGCAGUGACCGGCGGUGCGUGACGGGUGUGCUUCUCUGGAGUGCGAGGUGUGCUGCGGAGGGGAUCCUGCUCGUCUGCUCUACUGCUUUGCAUGUGCAACUCCGAUUGCAUAUGGUGCGAGGUGCAUCGAUCUGGGUGCUGCGCUUCGCGAUGCGGCGUGGGUUGAUGCGGUGGUGGUGGCCACGGUGGUGCUGCGGUGGUGGACGGCGGCUUCGGCCAGGGGGUGGUGCAUGUCAUGUCGCGGUGGAUCAUGGGAUCCCGUGGCCUGAAUGAGGUCGGCCUCAGUAGGUGGUGGCUGGUGGGCGGUGGUCGGUGGUGGUAGGUGGUCGGCGCAUCUCCAGGAGAAAUCUUUGCUUCAGCCUUCUUCGGAGAUGGCGACGGCGGCGCCCGCGGGUGCAGUGAUCUUUCUUGGAAGCGUUGUCGUGGAGGUGUGCUCCUCCUCCCCACGGAUUUGGCUCCGGAGGGAAACCUCAGAUCCGCUGGGUCGGGCGAUGAAGGCGUCUUCGCGUCUUUCUCCUCCUUGGGCGCAUCGUCUCGGAGCCGGCUACGACUGGGAGACUGGUGGAUUGCGGCAUCUUCGCCGUGGAUGGCGGCAUCUUCGCCGCGUGGUCUGCUGAGGCGGGGCACUGGUUUCUGUUUGGCAACGAUGAUGGCGUCAAGAGGAGGUCGGGUCGCGGCGUGGACUUCGGUAGUCGGUUCUUCCCGGCGUGUCCGAGGUGCUCUUCUGUGGGCACGGUCGGCGCAAGUCUUGCAUAUUUCCCUAGUGAGGCUCGUCGUCAAAGUCGGAGCUGUCAGUUGCUUGCGCGUGUGGCCAUCCGGUGGCAUGUGCCGUCGUGGCUUCUAUACAGCUGUUUGCAGGUUGGCUUUGAGGUUGGAGCUCUAUGGUGAAGUCGGAGUCGCUCGUUCGAGGCAAUCGGUGAUGACGAUGACGCUUGCGACUCCUCGGCGAAUGCCAUUCUUCUUUGCAGCUUUGUGUUCCAUGUCGGUGGCCUGGUUGGCCGGUGAUGCCCAUGUCAGGUGGGUUGAGUUGUAUCGGUUUUAGCCCGGUUUUUCGCAAAUUAACCGGGCAAUUCUCUCUUCUUCUUAAUCAAUGAAAAUGGCAAAUCUUUUGCCUCGUUUCAAAAAAAAAAAACAACAACAAAUGAAGCAAGACUAAAACUAUAAAUUCAAGAACUUGUAGGGGUCACAUGGACCGCUGGAAAAAAUUUGUACCUUGAGAGCUGUGAUAUUUUUAAAACAAGAUCAGCCAGGAAUAGCUCUUAGCAACAUAUUUUUAUAGAAGAAAAUCUCUAAGCAUCCGGCAGAGUAUACCGCUUUAGCAUAUGUACAAAUCUACAAAACACACAAUAGGUGGUAUUUAAAAUUAAAAUGUAUGGAAAUAAAUGGUCAAAGUGUAGCACGCAUCUCAAAGCUCGCCCCGACGCUGGAUUCUUUGGUGUUGCCUACCGGGUGGGCACCCUAGAAAAAUCGUGUUCGUGUCCACCGGCCGAAUCGAUGCGUUUAUGAUCAACCGCUCGCCGCUCCCUACCCUUGCUAGCUCACGGCAAUCCGGUCGUCGUCGUCGUCACAGACCACGUGAGUUUUCUUGUAGUAAUCCAUGGCGUCGCCGGAUCGACCUUUGGCUCUUUCCACAUACUACCUACCUAAUUGCGGCACAUAUUUGUCGCCUUUUUCAUUUGGAUGCAACUGCAUCGCGUUCGGUUUGACCCAUGGCUUCGGCAGCUUGUGCGCGCCGCUACAUUAUAAGCAGGUGCGCUCACACAACUAGCAGCUCCAUCACUCCACCACCACCCUGAUACACUCAUAACAAGCAGUGAUCGGUCGAUGGAGGCUUCACGCAAGCUCCUCUCGGCGGCGCUCCUCCUGGUGCUGCUGCUGGCGGGCACAGGGGAGAUGGGAGGCCCGGUGGCGGUGGCGGAGGCGCGGACGUGCGAGGCGAAGAGCCACAGGUUCAGGGGCCCCUGCGUGCGCCACCACAACUGCGCCAACGUCUGCAAGACCGAGGGCUUCCCCGGCGGCAAGUGCCGCGGCUUCCGCCAUCGCUGCUUCUGCACCACCCACUGCCGGCAGUAACCAACCUAUUGCCUCUACUUCGUACGUCCGCCUAGCUGCAGCCUGCCUGCGUGCAUCCUGGCUUGCUCGCACCUCUGUGCGUCUAUAGUAGUUAGCACUGUGUCCAUGAAUAAACCUCGGCCUGUCUGUCAUGGCAUGCUGAAAUGGGUAUAAGAAACGCAGGCUCUCUUUUACUCUAUAUUAACUAGAAGAACGCCCGUGCGUUGCAACGGGGCCACAUUAAUUUUAAGAAUUCAAUAUUACGACAUUGAUGAUCUUUUUUACCAUCAAAUCCUCACACACACAGACACACACUCUCCCUCCCUCUUCCUCACUCUCUAUCCCCCUCUCCCUCUCUCUCUAACACACACACAUAUCUAUCUUAUUGGGUACGGGACCAUAAUCCAUCUAUUUCACAGAUACACGCUACUGCAUAACAAUAUGGAUUAUGUGUAUUAUAUUUGCCACCAGAACCGAGGAAAUUAAUUUCAUGUAAAUCGACCAACCACAGCUCCAAGAAUACGCGGACGAGGUGGCUCGGAUCGGUGUCGGCGCCGUCCAGCGCGGACCACGGACCCGCUACCAAGUGCACGUACAAUGCACGUCUUCACAAAUAUUAUAACCAGAUGUGAGAAAUCACAUGCAUAGAAAAGACAUUCUGAUAGCAAUCCAAAUACCAUACUCAAUUGAAUACCUAACCUGGACAAUACUCUUAUUUCUAUGCGCCAAAAAAAAUGGAAUAGCAAAGCUAAGUAUGCCUACAUACGCUCAGAUUAUAUAUAAGAAUCUUGGGUGAACAAUUGCAACAAAGCACUAAGCAGCGAUAAAUCUAAAUAACAAAUCCAUUAACUAUGCAGGCAGCAGGCUUGUUACAACAUAGAGAGAUAGGAAAAUGUCACCUCCAGUAAUGUAGCGCAAAGGAGUGGAACGAAGCAUGAAUGAGCGGUUGUCUGUUCUUCUCCAUGUACAUGGAUCAGUAGUAGAGGCCAAGUAUAUAAGUACUUGACUGAACUCCACUCUUCGUGUACGGAGAGCCAUGUCACCUUCUCACCGCUGCAGCAUGGGAGGACGGCUGGUUCACGUGACCCUCCAGCUGGGGGAUCCAUGGUGUCUGACCGUCGAGCUCGAGGCAGAGAAGUUGAGGGCAGCAGUGGCGAGAUCCAUGCCGGCCAACCGGGCGAAGAGGAGGUCGUCGGGGAGGGACACAUCGGCAAGAUCCGGUCACCACGCGACCUGAAGAGCAACAGUGAUCUCCACAAGCUGUAGUCCGACGGCGUGCUCCAUCCCCUGCGAUGGGGUGACCAUGGCGGUGGCCACAGCUCCUCAUGCUCGCCUCGAUCUCGGCGACACACCCUAAGUGUAGGAGGCAGCAACGACCUCGACGAAAUCAUGGCCUCCAUCCCGGAACGCAUGAAGGACCUCGGCCCUAUCGCUACUCCUCCCGCCGUAGCCGCACGCGGCAGCGGACCGUGGGUAGGAGGCCAGGCGGCGUCGCCUCGGCUGACGGCAGGGAGCAGCGUUGAUUUCGGGUAGGUGGCAUCGCGAGGACGGCCGCGGCCGCGGGGAGGCACCCCGAUCAUGCUGCCAGGCCAAUCCUUCUCCUCCGACCCCCUAUCCCCGAAGAUUGCGCCGCCGCCCCGGUCGUGUUGUUUUCAUAUGCCAUUUUUUCCUGUACCUAAACAAAAGCGGGCGAGCGGAUGGCAGAGUUUUGGUCCGCCCUCUAAAAUUGCUAAACACACUUUUGGUGAGGAUUAUUGUUAAUAAAUGAAUUCAAUCAUGUCGCUCUAAAUAAAUGAAUUCAAUCAUGUGACUCUAAUUACUUCGGAUUGUUAUGUGCACACUAAGCGGGGUGUAGUUAGGAAAGAAAAUGUUUUCUAAUUAAAGUGAUUGAGUGAUUUAAGGUAAGGUUAAUUAAUUUAGAUUUGAUUUUUAGUGAUUGUUAGUAAAGUAUGAUGGGUCUUUAAAAUCUUUUAUUUGUUUCCUUAAAAUCUAUUAUUUGUUUCCUAUAGAAAUUUGCAAUAAUGGAAGGUAUCGGUUGAUUUGGAUAAGUUAGUAAAUUUAGAUCCGUGAGUGCGUGCACAUUUGGAAAGUGCUGAUUUACAAGGAAAGAGCUGAGGGGUAAAUAAACCGGUGAAUAAGAAAUCAGCAUCGAAAAAAAUCUACGACGGUUAACCUACGGAAAAACACCGGACGAAAGUGGUGGGACGAAAAAAAACCUGGAAGCAAGACUACCAACUGCUCCAUUAGGAGUAGAGAUAAUGGAUCUGUCUAGGUCUCAGUCGAAGUCUAAGUCGAUUGAUGACAUCAGCAUGCAGACUUGUUUUAUUUCUGUAAUUGUUUGUAUGUUUUUGGCGUUAUGGGCUGCCUUUGUAUUUUUAGUGGGCUUUUGUCACCUUUUCCACUGUGAGCAAUGCUUUGUUGCCAGAUUUUCCCCUCUUCCUUGUGCUUGGGCUGUACGACCACACAUAUAUGUGUGUUUUGCUAUGCAGCUACAAACUUAACAAUUAUGAAUAAAAAACUACAACCUCAAGUCCUCAACGAGUGAGGCAGCUUUUUUGUGUGUUCAAAUCAUUGCAUUUGUUUUUGUCAGAAAAAUCCUUGUAUAUGCAGUACGGUGCUUGUAGUUUUUUUAGAUGGGCAUGCAACUUAUUGUCAUUUUUCAUUCAAGGAGAAUACAAGGAUUUGAACACAAGCAAAUAUAUUCACAAGAAUAAUAAUGUGAUGCGCGCACAAGCAAUGGAUAAAAAUAAAUAAAAUGAAGAUAAAAAUUAAUAAAAGACACCAAUCGAGCACCCUCCCGCCCACGCGUGCCUUCUAGUUGCGUGCUUAUAUCACCUGUGGUUGCAUGCGGUGUGAAGUAUAUGUAGUUGCAUGCGCAACAGUAGGUUGCACGUUUGCAGUAUCAAAUUUUAGAAAACAAUAUAAAACAAAAAAUAAAAGAAGAAAAAACAUCACUAAAUAUCAGUUGAGUUUUGAAGUUACAGUCAAGGGCGAUUGUGCAACCAGAUGACAAUAUACUAAAAACUUAUUCUUUAAUAUAAAUUAAAAAUCAAAAAGUAGCAAGAAUCUUACAAUUAGAAAAGAAAAAGGAUAAACAGAAAAAAUAUUAAAACAUGAAAAAUGGUUGCAUUUGUAUCUGCACCCUGCCCACGACAAAAACCGACAUAGAGUUGUAGUCGCGGCAACACUUACAGUUGCAUGCCUAGUGACAAACAUGCAACCGCCCCUCCCUAAAAAACGCCGUAGAGAUGUAGUCGGGGCGAUCUUGGAGGGGCCCCGGAUCGCCGAGCAUCUCGUCGCCGGCGACUUCCGUUGUGAAAACCUUCCUUCCUCUCCUGUUUUCACUCUGUGUCUACGCUCUUCUCUCAAUUCAAACAGUGUCGUUGGAUGGCCUCUAGAAAGAUGUUGAGUCUUGGUCCACAUUCCAGAGACUAAAAAAAAGAAACAACAGCACACUGUCUAUAGUCACUCCCUUCACAAAAAAGCAUUAAAAAACGUGUUCGAGAAUCUGAACAAGUAACUCUUCCCUCCUUUAAUAUGCUCUUUUUUUUGAGAAAAUGAGCUCCGCUCUCAGAAUCAGACACAAAAAAUAAAUUAAUUUUUUUUCUUAAAUCCUUGGGGAAAAUGCAAACAGAAAAAGGAAAAAAUGUAUAUGAAUUAAAAAAACAAGAAAAAAAAA
rnacentral:lncRNA from 1 species